UAAUACGGAGGGCGCAAGCGUUGUUCGGAAUCAUUGGGCGUAAAGCGGGUGUAGGCGGCUUGAUAAGUUGGGUGUGAAAUCCCUGGGCCCAACCCAGGAACUGCACUCAAAACUGUCUCGCUAGAGUCCCGGAGAGGGUGGCGGAAUUCCCGGUGUAGAGGUGAAAUUCGUAGAUAUCGGGAGGAACACCAGUGGCGAAGGCGGCCACCUGGACGGUGACUGACGCUCAGACCCGAAAGCGUGGGGAGCGAACAGGAUUAGAUACCCUGGUAGUCCACGCCGUAAACGUUGGGUGCUCGACGUAGCGGGUAUUGACCCCUGCUGUGUCCAAGCUAACGCGAGAAGCACCCCGCCUGGGGAGUACGGUCGCAAGGCUA
rnacentral:rRNA from 1 species